GAGCAAGCAGGUAUUAGCAAGCAUAUUAUGUGUGAGAAGAUAUUUUGAAGGGCACUUAAAUUUCUGUAAUUGACCAUGAUGGGACAGCUUCCUAAAAGACAAACGUACUAGUCAGGACCAGCUGAACUAUGCUGAGAGCAUUUAGGUAAGUAACCCUGUGUUGUGCCGAAGAACUGUGAUAUAUAUCAAUACAUUCAAACUUGCCACUCGGGCAAAGGAGUGCUUUGAAACCCUGGACCAAGUUGGAGUUGGGGAGGGCUUCCACCCCAAAAAAAACAUUGCUUAGCGUUCUUUCAGGUGACAUCACAACCAGCUAUGGAACCUUGAAGGCUGUGUCUAGGGGCAACCCUCUGAGUUCAACAUCAUUUGUGAGGUUGCCUCCGAUGUGUUAACUGCUAGGUUUAGGCCCAGUGUCUUACUAGUGGUUAACUAGGACGAUUAGUCCGAUUUUGAAAUUUUUGCUGUUUAGCUGGUUACGGCACCCAAGAAGGAUACUUCUGAUGAAGUAUCCUUAGAACUCCUCCGAGUUUUCCAGAGCAGACCCCUGGUGAACUUCCAAGCUCUGACUAUUCACCAAUUGGUCUGCUUAAUUAUCUCCAUUCUUUGACUGACCCUGACCUGCAAAGUCAACUGUUUAUAAAGGAGCCUCAUAGGUUCGUGACCUUGGACCAACCAUCUACUGGAAGAAGUGAUUCUUCGGACAUCAGGGUGAACGACCCAAGAGUACCCACCCAGAGCCAGGCAUAAGGUUGCUUUCGCUUGGAAGUUAGAAAAGCACUACUAUACCGGAGUCAACACCCUCGGCAGUCCAAGCAGUUGUCCAUGUGGCAACCUAAACCGCCUGGGUUGGAGAUGAAGCCUGAAGCUUCAGGAAAAGGGCAAAAACGUACAUACCAGCAUGAAAGUGGGACAGAGAUAGAGUCUGAAGCUUUGGGACAAGGUCCAAAAAGAAAAUGCCAGGAUGGAACAGAGAUGGUAUUUAAAGAGCCCAUCAAGGCUCAGAAGACCCCUCAGGAGCCUCAAGACCUAGAGCUCCCAAGAGAACAGCCUAGCAAGGGUCAGAUACGGAAACCCCAGGGAGAGACUCCAAAACAACUAAAACCCCUAGAGUUGACCGAAGGUCCUCCAGAGCAGGCUGUAACUGAGAGGAAGCCUGCUGAUGGUGGCAAGGGUCGCAAGCGGCCCUAUUCUGCCAUGGAGGAAAACGAACAAAGCCCCCAAAAGGAAAAGUAUGGAAGGUUGCUUCAACACCUUCAAUGCGACCAAGAUGUGAGGUCAGACCCACACAGGUCUCAGCCAAUCCUUACAAAAACCUGGAAGAUCAAAGGGGGCGAGUCAGGAGGCAGUCAUGGAUCAGAAACAACUCAGAGCAAUCGAGAACCAUCUACUGUUGUUGCUCUAAAAGAAUAUCUUUCACCAGAGGAGAGAGAGAAGUGCUGUUUUGAGGAGAAAUGUGUUACAGAGAAGAAAGGUUGUAUAAAGGGUGAAGGAAGAAGGGGGGACAGCUUGGAGCCUGAUUUACCGGGAACACGGGCUCAGAUCAUCCUGGAUAGCGACAGAGGCAAUAGCUUACUCCCCAACAAGGUGGCAGUACUUGCGGCAGAGAAAAAGCCUCUCACAGACCAAGAAAAGGGCAGAGAAAUGGAUCAAAUCCUUGAUAUUACAGAGGACAUGGAGAAGGAAAUUGAGAAUGCGCUGGGUCCAGGACCCCAAGAAGAAAUCCUAAGUUCCAGAUUCAAGUUGCAAAUCACCAGAGGAGACAUCCAGACCCUGGAGAACGGUCAGUGGCUCAAUGAUGAGGUCAUCAAUUUCUACAUGAACCUUCUGGUUGAGAGAAAUGAAAACCAAGGCUACCCGGCUCUGCAUGUCUUUAGCACUUUCUUUUACGUCAAGCUAAAGCAUAGCGGUUACAGUUCUGUGAAAAGAUGGACUCGAGGCAUCAGUCUCUUUGAAAAAGAACUCAUCUUGGUGCCUAUUCACCAGAGGGUACAUUGGAGCCUGGUGGUAAUCGAUGUAAGAAAAGUAUUGUAUACCUCGAUUCCAUGGGACAGACAGGGAAGUCUUUCUGUGAGACCAUCUUCCAAUAUUUACAAAACGAGAGCAAGACACGCAGGAACAUUGAACUGAACCCUUUGGAGUGGAAGCAGUACAGUGUGACAUCAGAGGAGAUUCCUCUGCAACUGAAUGGGAGUGACUGUGGAAUGUUUACCUGUAAAUAUGCAGAUUACAUCGCUAGGGACCAGCCUGUGACCUUUUCUCAGCAACACAUGCCCACCUUCAGGAAGAGGAUGGUCUGGGAAAUCCUACACAGUCAAUUACUGUAACAACAUCCACCUGGUUUCUAUGGUCCCCAUCCCUGUACUUUUCCAUCCCUGUUCUUUUCCAUCGCUGUUUCUAAUAUACCUCAGGGAGGAUGAGUUGAAGAGAUAUAAGACAGGUACUGAGCUGUCUCACUGGAUGAAGCCCACUCUCUUCAAUAUAGUCCUCACAGGGGAUGUGGGACUGAUGCCCUAAUGCCAUCUCUAGGAUGCAUGCAACUAUUGCAAGCUUAGAAACUACUGCUGCUGCCCAACCCACAGGAGACCACGUGUUUUUUGGUUUUGUUGUUUGUUUUGUUUUUUGUUGUUUUUGUUUUGUUUUGUUUUGUUUUGUUUUUGUCUUCCUGACCCCACUCCACUGAUUGUUUUCGUGAACUCACUUGCAAACCUUGGCCAUUGUCAUUUCCCACCCUCCAGUCCUUGUUUGAAGUGUCUAUUUCUGAAAUGAAGGCUCAUCACAGUGCCAGGAGGGACAUGAGCAGGAAGAGGCCAAAGCUCUUCACUGGCAUCUCUAAUGCUGGACUUGUAUGCUGUUAAAUUGAAGCAGGGGAUAGUGGUGGUGUUUUUGUUUUGUUAUAAUUUUUUUAAAGUUUGAAAAUCGUAUGAGAAAUGGAAAUGAGGUGCACAGACCGGUGCUGUUCUGCACCACCGUACUCUGCUGGACCUGGACAGGAUGUGGAACUGCAGCCAGACUACUGACUGGGCUCCAGGACUAGUAAGGAAAGCACCAUGGUCACUUAAAGACUCAUCCUUUCCCAGACCUGCCUUAGUUUGGGAAGUUGACUUGAAGUAACCAUAAUGGCAAAAGUCCAUUUCUAUCUCAGGUCUCAUUGACUACAAACCCAUCUAUUGCUGUAUUGAAUUGUUUGUUUGUUUUUUAAAGUUCAAUUCAAUUUAAUUUUUUUCUUAAAAAGUUUUGGUAUAUAUUAAGAUGAAAUUGAGAUUUUUUUUCUCAUUAGAUUAAUAUUCCCAUUGUGGAAAAUUGGGCAUUUAGUAUUUACGGUUGAAACUGCCAGUUAUAUAAUAAUCUAUUUUACAUGUGACACUUUGUAUUUAACUUUUCUAUUCAUUAUCUUAUGACUGUGUUUAUGCAAUUUUUACUUAAUAAAGUUUAAAGUUAUUUAAACA